rnacentral:rRNA from 1 species
UUCCAGACUCCUACGGGAGGCAGCAGUGAGGAAUAUUGGUCAAUGGACGCAGGUCUGAACCAGCCAAGUCGCGUGCAGGAUGACGGCCCUCCGGGUUGUAAACUGCUUUUAGUUGGGAAUAAAAGGGGGCUCGUGAGCCCCGUAUUGUAUGUACCAUCAGAAAAAGGACCGGCUAAUUCCGUGCCAGCAGCCGCGGUAAUACGGAAGGUCCGGGCGUUAUCCGGAUUUAUUGGGUUUAAAGGGAGCGUAGGCCGGUCUUUAAGCGUGCCGUGAAAUUUUGUGGCUCAACCAUGAGAGUGCGGCGCGAACUGGAGACCUUGAGUGCGCGGAAGGCAGGCGGAAUUCGUGGUGUAGCGGUGAAAUGCUUAGAUAUCACGAAGAACCCCGAUUGCGAAGGCAGCCUGCCGCAGCGUUACUGACGCUGAAGCUCGAAAGCGCGGGUAUCGAACAGGAUUAGAUACCCUUGUA